rnacentral:rRNA from 1 species
GGAAAAGAAACCAACAGGGAUUGCCCUAGUAACGGCGAGUGAAGCGGCAACAGCUCAAAUUUGAAAUCUGGCCUCGGCCCGAGUUGUAAUUUGCAGAGGAUGCUUUUGGCGAGGCGCCUUCCGAGUUCCCUGGAACGGGACGCCAUAGAGGGUGAGAGCCCCGUACGGUUGGACGCCGAGCCUCUGUAAAGCUCCUUCGACGAGUCGAGUAGUUUGGGAAUGCUGCUCAAAAUGGGAGGUAAAUUUCUUCUAAAGCUAAAUACCGGCCAAAGACCGAUAGCGCACAAGUAGAGUGAUCGAAAGAUGAAAAGCACUUUGAAAAGAGGGUUAAACAGCACGUGAAAUUGUUGAAAGGGAAGCGCUCGUGACCAGACUUGCGCCCUACGGAUCAGCCGGCGUUCUCGCCGGUGCCCUCUGUAGGGUCCAGGCCAGCAUCGGUCUCCGCGGGGGGAUAAAGGCUUAGGGAACGUGGCUCCCCCGGGAGUGUUAUAGCCCUCUGCAGAAUACCGCCGCGGGGACCGAGGACCGCGCUUCGGCAAGGAUGCUGGCGUAAUGGUCACCAGCGACCCGUCUUGAAACACGGACCAAGGAGUCAAGCAUUAGGGCGAGUGUCUGGGUGUAAAACCCGCACGCGAAAUGAAAGUGAACGUUGGUGAGAGCUUCGGCGCAUCAUCGACCGAUCCAGAUGUUCUCGGAUGGAUUUGAGUAAGAGCCUUACCGCUUGGACCCGAAAGUUGAUGAACUAUGCCUGUAUAGGGUGAAGCCAGAGGAAACUCUGGUGGAGGCUCGCAGCGGUUCUGACGUGCAAAUCGAUCGUCAAAUAUGGGCAUGGGGGCGAAAG